rnacentral:rRNA from 1 species
CACGUAGGGUGCGAGCGUUGUCCGGAAUUAUUGGGCGUAAAGAGCUCGUAGGCGGUGUGUCGCGUCGGCCGUGAAAACCUGCAGCUUAACUGUGGGCGUGCGGUCGAUACGGGCAUCACUGGAGUUCGGCAGGGGAGACUGGAAUUCCUGGUGUAGCGGUGAAAUGCGCAGAUAUCAGGAGGAACACCGGUGGCGAAGGCGGGUCUCUGGGCAGUAACUGACGCUGAGGAGCGAAAGCGUGGGGAGCGAACAGG